GAUGAACGCUGGCGGCGUGCCUAAUACAUGCAAGUCGAGCGAACAGAUAAGGAGCUUGCUCCUUUGACGUUAGCGGCGGACGGGUGAGUAACACGUGGGUAACCUACCUAUAAGACUGGGAUAACUUCGGGAAACCGGAGCUAAUACCGGAUAACAUUUGGAACCGCAUGGUUCUAAAGUGAAAGAUGGUUUUGCUAUCACUUAUAGAUGGACCCGCGCCGUAUUAGCUAGUUGGUAAGGUAACGGCUUACCAAGGCGACGAUACGUAGCCGACCUGAGAGGGUGAUCGGCCACACUGGAACUGAGACACGGUCCAGACUCCUACGGGAGGCAGCAGUAGGGAAUCUUCCGCAAUAGGCGAAAGCCUGACGGAGCAACGCCGCGUGAGUGAAGAAGGGUUUCGGCUCGUAAAACUCUGUUAUUAGGGAAGAACAAAUGUGUAAGUAACUGUGCACGUCUUGACGGUGCCUAAUCAGAAAGCCACGGCUAACUACGUG
rnacentral:rRNA from 1 species